rnacentral:rRNA from 1 species
UGGGGAAUAUUGCACAAUGGGCGCAAGCCUGAUGCAGCGACGCCGCGUGAGGGAUGACGGCCUUCGGGUUGUAAACCUCUUUCAGCAGGGACGAAGCGCAAGUGACGGUACCUGCAGAAGAAGCACCGGCCAACUACGUGCCAGCAGCCGCGGUAAUACGUAGGGUGCAAGCGUUGUCCGGAAUUACUGGGCGUAAAGAGCUCGUAGGCGGUUUGUCGCGUCGUCUGUGAAAACCAGCAGCUCAACUGUUGGCUUGCAGGCGAUACGGGCAGACUUGAGUAUUUCAGGGGAGACUGGAAUUCCUGGUGUAGCGGUGAAAUGCGCAGAUAUCAGGAGGAACACCGGUGGCGAAGGCGGGUCUCUGGGAAAUAACUGACGCUGAGGAGCGAAAGCGUGGGUAGCGAACAGG